UCUCUGCGCUGGGUCCCCAGGCUCCGUCACCCAGCAGCGAGUCGGGGCACACGGCCGCCCCGUCGACCUGGAAGUGAAUCCGCCUCAGCCGGCUAGGGGCGGCCGGGCCCGGUUCCCGCCCCCCUUAAAGGGGCCGCGUUAGCCGUCGGGGCGCAGCCGGCCCGCUGGGGGCCUUUGGAAAAUCAGGGCCAUUAAACAAAAAUCUCCUCACGCUGGCCAAGACAGCUUAAUAAACAGGAGCGUCGUGCCGGGUACCGAGCUCCUUCUUCUGUCCCUCUUACAAUUGUUCCUGUUUCCCCGGGGGAGGAGCUUGAGUGUCCUUACUGACUUUAUUUUAUUAACUGCUAUUGAAGCCCUGGUGGUAUUGAGUGGGGUGUAGAAGCUAUGAGGUGACCCUGUGCACGGGUAUAACUCGCACACUAAUCCCCCCACAACCACACCUGUCCAUGGAAUGGGGAUGACCAGGGCCAGGACAACAUUGAGACACAGAAGUUGUCUGGCCUGCCCAGGAUCAUAUGGUGAAGCCAGGAAUAGAACCAAGAAUUUUGACUCCCAAUUUCCUGAUAAAAGUCAUGGUAUUCUAUAGAUCAAGAGCUC